rnacentral:rRNA from 1 species
UACGUAGGAGGCAAGCGUUGUCCGGAAUUACUGGGCGUAAAGCGCGUGUAGGUGGUGGGACAAGUCUGCUGUGAAAGCGCCUGGCUUAACCGGGCGAGGUCGGCGGAAACUGUCCGACUAGAGGACGGUAGAGGGGGGUGGAAUUCCAGGUGUAGCGGUGAAAUGCGUAGAUAUCUGGAGGAACACCGGUGGCGAAGGCGGCAUCCUGGACCGGCAUUGACGCUGAGGCGCGAAAGCCAGGGGAGCAAACGGG